AUUGAACGCUGGCGGCAUGCCUUACACAUGCAAGUCGAACGGCAGCACGGGUGCUUGCACCUGGUGGCGAGUGGCGAACGGGUGAGUAAUACAUCGGAACAUGUCCUGUAGUGGGGGAUAGCCCGGCGAAAGCCGGAUUAAUACCGCAUACGAUCUACGGAUGAAAGCGGGGGACCUUCGGGCCUCGCGCUAUAGGGUUGGCCGAUGGCUGAUUAGCUAGUUGGUGGGGUAAAGGCCUACCAAGGCGACGAUCAGUAGCUGGUCUGAGAGGACGACCAGCCACACUGGGACUGGGACACGGCCCAGACUCCUACGGGAGGCAGCAGUGGGGAAUUUUGGACAAUGGGCGAAAGCCUGAUCCAGCAAUGCCGCGUGUGUGAAGAAGGCCUUCGGGUUGUAAAGCACCUUUGUCCGGAAAGAAAUCCUUGGCCCUAAUACGGUCGGGGGAUGACGGUACCGGAAGAAUAAGCACCGGCUAACUACGUG
rnacentral:rRNA from 1 species